rnacentral:lncRNA from 1 species
CUUACUAGAGGGCAUUGUAUUUUUCAUCUCCCGGGUCAUGCUGGGACAUGUCCAGAGCCACUGUCUUCUCAGUUUUAGGUUAACCGCUAUUGGAAAGGUAGUGUAGAAACGACGUUGGCGUUCGCGUCGUAUUUAUUGUAUUUCUUUUUAUAUCCACGUUUUAUAACAUCGCAAAAGCUGCAAGAAAACUUCACGAAUUUAAGCGAUAAAGGGUUAAAGUACAAAGACGCAUGUAAGAUGACAGAGAUGGACAGGCAUCCUGCCCAUGGUGUACCCUGCCUUAUCCC